CCUGAGCCUAGCCCUGACCCUGUGACCUUUGAUCCUUCCUGCCAGGUCAUUCUCAUGCCACCCUGACCUGCCAUGAAACCAGAGAGCACCACGGGAGAGAGGAAGCAAGCCAGCAUCAAACGAGACAGCCAGGCACCCAGCCAGCCAGACAGCUGUGAGAGGCGACAGUUGUCAGGCCAGCACCAGAAAAACCCCCUUUUGCAUAAUUGAACUGUAACCGUCUGUCCUGUCAUCAGCAACAUCAACAUCCAGGUCAGCAAGUUACAACCAGGACUUCACAGUACAGUUGUGUCAACUAGCCAUCUAAUCACAAAUUGGUGCAUUGACUUUUCUAUCGUCCAAAACAUUAAAAAAACAUUUUCUUAAAAAUAUCCUGUAUGGAUACUAUCUAAUCAAUCCGUGGCUCCUCCAGUCUGCAUGUCGAAGUGUCCUUGGGCAAGAUACUGAA